CAAUGAACAGGUUCAUCCACAUGACCAAUGAACAGGUUCAUCCUCAUGACCAAUGAACAGGUUCAUCCACAUGACCAAUGAACAGGUUCAUCCUCAUGACCAAUGAACAGGUUCAUCCUCAUGACCAAUGAACAGGUUCAUCCACAUGACCAAUGAACAGGUUCAUCC